GCGAUGCGACAUCCCAGCACCCAAUAUUUAGUGAAUUUUGCCUUUGUGAUUUUUGCUGAGGAAGAGGUGGCAGAAUCAGCAACAGAGUGAUCCAACAGGGACUAGGAUAAAUAGAGGAAAACUGGGGUCCCAGCCAUACUUGGACAAGGUCCAGAAGUGUGGCUUAUAGGGGACAGCUACAUCCGACGUGGGGAAGAAAGAGUCAGACACACCACAAGGAGCAACCUCUGACUGGAUGGCCAUGUGUGGUGGUUUGGCUGGGGUGGUCUGACAGGGAAGAACUGUCUUCCCUUUUUUUUAAUCAUUCCUUUAGAGGAAGAAGAAUCUACUCAUCCACUGUGGCAGCAAUAACAUCAGCUAGUGUUUUUUUUUCUUGUUGUCUCCAUAAGAUGUUUGAACUUUACUGUGCUGAAUGAUGUAUGUGCAGAGUUUAAUGCUAGAAGGCUGUUUUUAAUUUAAUCUGCUGAAGGGGGAAAGUUUAUCUUGUAUUUGAGUUUAAAUUUAUGUCACUAUGGGCAUGACAUGACAACACAACUAGGUUGGAGUGUACAUGUACCGACAAGUAAAAUCAGCAAAGAUUGUCACCCAUUGCACUUGUGUUGGAGAUUAUCAAAAAUUAUAGAUGUAUACAAUUUUACCAGAAGGUAUGUACUCAUUGUGAGAUUUAUUUUUUCACAUAUUGCCCAGCCACAUUAGAGACUCAGAUAAAUUCAUUUGAUGGAUGCCACACAGCUAGAAGAUGGAUGAAUGGAUGAGCCUUUGAUAACUGCACUCCACCACAAUACAAUGCGAGUAAUAAUAUUGGAAAACUGUGACAAGGACAGAUUAAUUAUAUUAUAACAUUAAAUAAAAGUUAUAAUAUACAUUGUUAGGCUUGUCAAUUACAUAUAAAAACAUGAGUGUACACUAGACCAUGCAGUAGAUAUUUGGGCAUGCAGUACUGUUAGACAUGGAUGUCGGGGAUUAGUAAGGCACUAUUACGUAGCAUGAACAUGCGGUGCUAUGAGAAAUCACCCGUAAGACCAUAGCUCUCCCA